CCUACGGGUGGCAGCAGUGAGGAAUAUUGGUCAAUGGACGCAAGUCUGAACCAGCCAUGCCGCGUGCAGGAAGACGGCUCUAUGAGUUGUAAACUGCUUUUGUACGAGGGUAAACGCAGAUACGCGUAUCUGUCUGAAAGUAUCGGACGAAUAAGGAUCGGCUAACUCCGAGCCAGCAGCCGCGGUAAUACUGAGGAUUCAAGCGUUAUCCGGAUUUAUUGGGUUUAAAGGGUGCGUAGGCGGUCGGAUAAGGUAGAGGUGAAAUCCCGAGGCUCAACUUCGGGAUUGCCGCCGAUACUGUUAGGCUAGAGAGUAGUUGCGGUAGGCGGAAUGUAUGGUGUAGCGGUGAAAUGCUUAGAGAUCAUACAGAACACCGAUUGCGAAGGCAGCUUACCAAGCUACUUCUGACGUUGAGGCACGAAAGCGUGGGGAGCAAACAGGAUUAGAUACCCCAGUAGUC
rnacentral:rRNA from 1 species